rnacentral:rRNA from 1 species
UCGGAAUUACUGGGCGUAAAGCGCAUGCAGGUGGUUUGUUAAGUUCAGAUGUGAAAGACCCGGGGCGUUAACCUACGGAAUAGCAUUUGUAAACUAGGCAGACUAGAGUACUGUAGAGGGGGGUAGGAAUUUCAGGUGUAGCGGUGAAAUGCGUAGAGAUCUGAAGGAAUACCGGUGGCGAAGGCGGCCCCCUCGGACAGAUACUGACACUCAGAUGCGAAAGCGUGGGGAGCAAACAGGAUUAGAUACCCUGGUAG